AAGCCCGUGGCCCAACCACCUUGUGUGGGGGGAGCGGUCGAAGGUGGGGCCGGCGAUUGGGACGAAGUCGUAACAAGGUAGCCGUACCGGAAGGUGCGGCUGGAUCACCUCCUUUCUAAGGAGCA
rnacentral:rRNA from 1 species